CUGCUGUGAUGACCACUUAGGACACCUUUGGAUAAAAGAUGAAACUAACCUUUGUAUCUGAGCAGU